rnacentral:rRNA from 1 species
UACUCGAGUGGCGAACGGGUGAGUAACACGUGGGUGAUCUGCCCUGCACUUCGGGAUAAGCUUUGGAAACUUGGUCUAAUACCGGAUAGUAACCAUCUUUAGUGUGGUGGUUGGAAAGUUUUUUCGGUGUAGGAUUAGCUCGCGGCCUAUCAGCUUGUUGGUGUGGUAAUGGCCUACCAAGGCGGCGACGGGUAGCCGGCCUGAGAGGGUGUACGGCCACAUUGGGACUGAGAUACGGCCCAG